AACUGGCCUCAGCAACAAGGGGUUUUCAGUUGUGCAUCCUGCUCUGACUGCCUUGCUGUUCUUGAUCUCUGGAGUCCCUGUGUUCCAGCACCUGCUCCUGUUCCUGCCUUGGUUCCUCCUGGCUUCUGCUGUUCUCCUGCAUCUUGGUGCCUUAUUCCAGCUCUGUGCUCCUGUGACCUGACUCCCAGCCUGGUGCUCCUGCCUCUGCCCAGACUUUUUCAGUGUGAUUGGUCUGUGGAGCUGGGAGGCUCCUUGGGAUUCCCUAACACAUUCGGCGGAGAGAAGGUGGGGGAGAUGACUUGGCUCCAGUCGGAUCCUGCAGCCUCUCCCGGCCAAGGAAGAAAAUCUAUUUGCUGGAAAGGCACGUUGCGUUUGGCAAAUGCAAGACAACAGGAAGCUGAAGGAAAAGAAAGGAAGCGAAGGACAGAUGUGGAUGUGAUUCUUCCUGAAGGAAGCAAAACUGACAAAGGGCACGUCUAGGAGUGUAACCCUUUGCCUAACAGCCUCCGGGGACCCCCUGGAUUCUUGUCCUUGGGAAAGGGCAAAGGGAGAAGCCCCAGCCAGGAACCGGGUGUGAGCAAGAUGGCUAGGGCAGCCCUCCAGGCCAGGAGAACCCCUGUUUGCUGGUGCGGGUGAUUCUUGUCCAUUUUAUAAGGUAGAU
rnacentral:lncRNA from 1 species